rnacentral:rRNA from 1 species
UGCAAGUCGAACGCGAAAGUGGAGCAAUCCAUGAGUAGAGUGGCAAACGGGUGAGUAACACGUGGGUGACCUGCCUUCGAGCGGGGGAUAACGUCCCGAAAGGGACGCUAAUACCGCAUAACAUGCCGCCUUUUAACAGGUGGACAUCAAAGCUGGGGAUCGCAAGACCUGGCACUUGAAGAGGGGCCCGCGCCUGAUUAGCUAGUUGGUGGGGUAAUGGCUCACCAAGGCAACGAUCAGUAUCCGGCCUGAGAGGGCGGACGGACACACUGGGACUGAGACACGGCCCAGACUCCUACGGGAGGCAGCAGUGGGGAAUUGUUCGCAAUGGGCGCAAGCCUGACGACGCAACGCCGCGUGGAGGAUGAAGACCUUCGGGUCGUAAACUCCUUUCGAUCGAGACGAAUGGCCUCCGGGUGAACAAUCCGGGGGAGUGACGGUACCGAGAGAAGAAGCCCCGGCUAACUCCGUGCCAGCAGCCGCGGUAAUACGGGGGGGGCAAGCGUUGUUCGGAAUUACUGGGCGUAAAGGGCUCGUAGGUUGCCAACUAAGUCAGACGUGAAAUCCCUCGGCUUAACCGGGGAACUGCGUCUGAUACUGGAUGGCUUGAGUUUGGGAGAGGGACGCGGAAUUCCAGGUGUAGCGGUGAAAUGCGUAGAUAUCUGGAGGAACACCGGUGGCGAAGGCGGCGUCCUGGACCAACACUGACACUGAGGAGCGAAAGCCAGGGGAGCAAACGGGAUUAGAUACCCCGGUAGUCCUGGCCCUAAACGAUGAAUGCUUGGUGUGGCGGGUAUCGAUCCCUGCCGUGCCGAAGCUAACGCAUUAAGCAUUCCGCCUGGGGAGUACGGUCGCAAGGCUG